CUAGUGAAGGCUCUCUGGUAAGCAGUCACUGUGGCAAAAUUGUCUUUUUCCAGAAUUCAUUGCUAUAUAAUGUUUCGAUCUUGCUACUUCCGAAUCAGGACUAUCUAGCCGAACUCCACGGCUACACCGGCUUUGGACAGAUCCCACACCGAGCAUGGCCUGCUUUGCUCAAAGGUAAUCUGAUCAUUCCUCCUUUUUGUUCCACUUCUGCUUGAAGAUUUGGCAGUGUAGCCCUGGAAGAUGUUCAGUUUUAGAAAAGCCAGUUGAAGAAUGAUGUGUAAAAAAAAAGAACUGAAAAACAUGACAAGGAUGGUAAAUUGGCUGGAAACAUGGUAAAGUGCUGAACAGUUGUCGAUUUUGAUGAAGCU
rnacentral:lncRNA from 12 species